UUGCUCUUCAACGAGGAAUUCCUAGUAAGCGCAUGUCAUCAGCAUGCGUUGAUUACGUCCCUGCCCUUUGUACACACCGCCCGUCGCUACUACCGAUUGAAUGGCUUAGUGAGGUCUUGGGAUUGGCUUCGGGGAGCCGGGCAACGGCACUUNGUUGCUGAGAACUUGAUCAAACUUGGUCAUUUAGAGGAAGUAAAAGUCGUAACAAGGUUUCCGUAGGUGAACNUGCGGAAGGAUCAUUAUCGAGUUUUUUUGAACGGGUUGUAGCUGGCCUUCUUACGGGAGGCAUGUGCACGCCUGGCUCAUCCACUCUCAACCUCUGUGCACUCUUUGUAAGAAACGGUAGAAGCUAGCCUGUUUGUACGAGCUGGUGAAAGCCUUUCUUAUGUUUUACUACAAACGCUUCAGUUAUAGAAUGUUUACAUGUGUACAACACAAUUAAUAUACAACUUUCAGCAACGGAUCUCUUGGCUCUCGCAUCGAUGAAGAACGCAGCGAAAUGCGAUAAGUAAUGUGAAUUGCAGAAUUCAGUGAAUCAUCGAAUCUUUGAACGCACCUUGCGCUCCUUGGUAUUCCGAGGAGCAUGCCUGUUUGAGUAUCAUGAAAUUCUCAACCCUUAAAUUUUGUAACGAAGUUUAAUGGGCUUGGACUUGGAGGUUUGUGUCGGCUCUUAGUUGAGUCGACUCCUCUUAAAUGCAUUAGCGUGAAUCUUUACGGAUCACUUCAGCGAUGAUAAUUAUCUGCGCUGUGGUGCUGAAGUAUUUUUUGAUGGUUCAUGCUUACAACCGUCUCUCACGAGACAAUUCUUAACAAUCUGGUCUCAAAUCAGGUAGGACUACCCGCUGAACUUAAGCAUAUCAAUAAGCGGAGGA
rnacentral:rRNA from 1 species